GGGUUGUGAGGUUAAGCGACUAAGCGUACACGGUGGAUGCCCUGGCAGUCAGAGGCGAUGAAGGACGUGCUAAUCUGCGAAAAGCGUCGGUAAGGUGAUAUGAACCGUUAUAGCCGGCGAUGUCCGAAUGGGGAAACCCAGUGCAAUUCGUUGCACUAUCGUUAACUGAAUACAUAGGUUAACGAGGCGAACCGGGGGAACUGAAACAUCUAAGUACCCCGAGGAAAAGAAAUCAACCGAGAUUCCCCCAGUAGCGGCGAGCGAACGGGGAGCAGCCCAGAGUCUGAAUCAGCUUGUGUGUUAGUGGAACGGUCUGGAAAGUCCGACGGUACAGGGUGAUAGUCCCGUACACCAAAAUGCACAGGUUGUGAACUCGAAGAGUAGGGCGGGACACGUGGUAUCCUGUCUGAAUAUGGGGGGACCAUCCUCCAAGGCUAAAUACUCCUGACUGACCGAUAGUGAACCAGUACCGUGAGGGAAAGGCGAAAAGAACCCCGGCGAGGGGAGUGAAAAAGAACCUGAAACCGUGUACGUACAAGCAGUGGGAGCACCUUCGGGUGUGACUGCGUACCUUUUGUAUAAUGGGUCAGCGACUUAUAUUCUGUAGCAAGGUUAACCGUAUAGGGGAGCCGCAGGGAAACCGAGUCUUAACUGGGCGUUAAGUUGCAGGGUAUAGACCCGAAACCCGGUGAUCUAGCCAUGGGCAGGUUGAAGGUUGGGUAACACUAACUGGAGGACCGAACCGACUAAUGUUGAAAAAUUAGCGGAUGACUUGUGGCUGGGGGUGAAAGGCCAAUCAAACCGGGAGAUAGCUGGUUCUCCCCGAAAGCUAUUUAGGUAGCGCCUCGUGAAUUCAUCUUCGGGGGUAGAGCACUGUUUCGGCUAGGGGGUCAUCCCGACUUACCAACCCGAUGCAAACUACGAAUACCGAAGAAUGUUAUCACGGGAGACACACGGCGGGUGCUAACGUCCGUCGUGAAGAGGGAAACAACCCAGACCGCCAGCUAAGGUCCCAAAGUCAUGGUUAAGUGGGAAACGAUGUGGGAAGGCACAGACAGCCAGGAUGUUGGCUUAGAAGCAGCCAUCAUUUAAAGAAAGCGUAAUAGCUCACUGGUCGAGUCGGCCUGCGCGGAAGAUGUAACGGGGCUAAACCAUGCACCGAAGCUGCGGCAGCGACACUAUGUGUUGUUGGGUAGGGGAGCGUUCUGUAAGCCUGCGAAGGUGUGCUGUGAGGCAUGCUGGAGGUAUCAGAAGUGCGAAUGCUGACAUAAGUAACGAUAAAGCGGGUGAAAAGCCCGCUCGCCGGAAGACCAAGGGUUCCUGUCCAACGUUAAUCGGGGCAGGGUGAGUCGACCCCUAAGGCGAGGCCGAAAGGCGUAGUCGAUGGGAAACAGGUUAAUAUUCCUGUACUUGGUGUUACUGCGAAGGGGGGACGGAGAAGGCUAUGUUAGCCGGGCGACGGUUGUCCCGGUUUAAGCAUGUAGGCUGAUUGUCCAGGCAAAUCCGGAUAAUCAAGGCUGAGGUGUGAUGACGAGGCACUACGGUGCUGAAGUAACAAAUGCCCUGCUUCCAGGAAAAGCCUCUAAGCAUCAGGUAACAUCAAAUCGUACCCCAAACCGACACAGGUGGUCAGGUAGAGAAUACCAAGGCGCUUGAGAGAACUCGGGUGAAGGAACUAGGCAAAAUGGUGCCGUAACUUCGGGAGAAGGCACGCUGGUGUGUAGGUGAAGUCCCUGCGGAUGGAGCUGAGACCAGUCGAAGAUACCAGCUGGCUGCAACUGUUUAUUAAAAACACAGCACUGUGCAAACACGAAAGUGGACGUAUACGGUGUGACGCCUGCCCGGUGCCGGAAGGUUAAUUGAUGGGGUUAUCCGUAAGGAGAAGCUCUUGAUCGAAGCCCCGGUAAACGGCGGCCGUAACUAUAACGGUCCUAAGGUAGCGAAAUUCCUUGUCGGGUAAGUUCCGACCUGCACGAAUGGCGUAAUGAUGGCCAGGCUGUCUCCACCCGAGACUCAGUGAAAUUGAACUCGCUGUGAAGAUGCAGUGUACCCGCGGCAAGACGGAAAGACCCCGUGAACCUUUACUAUAGCUUGACACUGAACAUUGAGCCUUGAUGUGUAGGAUAGGUGGGAGGCUUUGAAGCGUGGACGCCAGUCUGCGUGGAGCCAACCUUGAAAUACCACCCUUUAAUGUUUGAUGUUCUAACGUUGGCCCCUGACCGGGGUUGCGGACAGUGUCUGGUGGGUAGUUUGACUGGGGCGGUCUCCUCCCAAAGCGUAACGGAGGAGCACGAAGGUUAGCUAAUCCUGGUCGGACAUCAGGAGGUUAGUGCAAUGGCAUAAGCUAGCUUGACUGCGAGCGUGACGGCGCGAGCAGGUGCGAAAGCAGGUCAUAGUGAUCCGGUGGUUCUGAAUGGAAGGGCCAUCGCUCAACGGAUAAAAGGUACUCCGGGGAUAACAGGCUGAUACCGCCCAAGAGUUCAUAUCGACGGCGGUGUUUGGCACCUCGAUGUCGGCUCAUCACAUCCUGGGGCUGAAGUAGGUCCCAAGGGUAUGGCUGUUCGCCAUUUAAAGUGGUACGCGAGCUGGGUUUAGAACGUCGUGAGACAGUUCGGUCCCUAUCUGCCGUGGGCGCUGGAGAAUUGAGGGGGGCUGCUCCUAGUACGAGAGGACCGGAGUGGACGCAUCACUGGUGUUCGGGUUGUCAUGCCAAUGGCACUGCCCGGUAGCUAAAUGCGGAAGAGAUAAGUGCUGAAAGCAUCUAAGCACGAAACUUGCCCCGAGAUGAGUUCUCCCUGAGACUUUAAGUCUCCUGAAGGAACGUUAAAGACGAUGACGUUGAUAGGCCGGGUGUGUAAGCGCAGCGAUGCGUUGAGCUAACCGGUACUAAUGAACCGUGAGGCUUAACCUUACAACGCCGAAG
rnacentral:rRNA from 1 species